rnacentral:rRNA from 1 species
UACGGGGGGGGCAAGCGUUGUUCGGAAUUACUGGGCGUAAAGGGCUUGUAGGUGGCCAACUAAGUCAGACGUGAAAUCCCACGGCUUAACCGAGGAACUGCGUCUGAUACUGGAUGGCUUGAGUGUGGGAGAGGGAUGCGGAAUUCCAGGUGUAGCGGUGAAAUGCGUAGAUAUCUGGAGGAACACCGGUGGCGAAGGCGGCAUCCUGGACCAUGACUGACACUGAAAAGCGAAAGCCAGGGGAGCAAACGGG